rnacentral:rRNA from 1 species
CCUACGGGUGGCUGCAGUGGGGGAUAUUGCACAAUGGGGGAAACCCUGAUGCAGCGACGCCGCGUGUGGGAAGACGGUCCUCUGGAUUGUAAACCACUGUCCCCAGGGACGAAGAUGAUGGUACCUGGGGAGGAAGCUCCGGCUAACUACGUGCCAGCAGCCGCGGUAAUACGUAGGGGGCGAGCGUUGUCCGGAAUUACUGGGUGUAAAGGGAGCGUAGGCGGGGAUGCAAGUUGGGUGUCAAAACUACCGGCUCAACUGGUAGUCGCACUCAAAACUGCAGCUCUUGAGUGAAGUAGAGGGAGGCAGAAUUCCUAGUGUAGCGGUGAAAUGCGUAGAGAUUAGGAGGAACACCAGUGGCGAAGGCGGCCUGCUGGGCUUUUACUGACGCUGAGGCUCGAAAGUGUGGGGAGCAAACAGGAUUAGAUACCCCGGUAGUC